rnacentral:rRNA from 1 species
GGCAUCAUUUUAUUUUUAAACUACGGGGCUGUGGAUGAGCAUGCGGUUGAUUAGCUAGUUGGCGGGGUAAAGGCCCACCAAGGCGAUGAUCAAUAGGGGACCUGAGAGGGUGAUCCCCCACACUGGCACUGAGAUACGGGCCAGACUCCUACGGGAGGCAGCAGUAGGGAAUAUUGGACAAUGGGUGUAAGCCUGAUCCAGCCAUGCCGCGUGCAGGAAGAAGGCCUUCUGGGUUGUAAACUGCUUUUGCCGGGGAUAAAAGAUCCAUGCGUGGAGAAUUGAAGGUACCCGGUGAAUAAGCCACGGCUAACUACGUG